GGUCCGCUGGCUCAAUGGCAGAGCGUCUGACUACGACCGUCUCCAGCUGCGAAGCAUCCGAGAGACGGGGCAAUCAGGAGGUUCCAGGUUCGACCCCUGGGUGGAUCG